CAAAAGUUGUAGGGCUCAAUGAUGCAGUGCUUGCUGGCACACCAGUAGAAGACCAGGACCUGCCCUUUGCUCAGGCUGCUCAGACAUGCUCAGCAUGAGAACAACUGCCUGUGAAUGAAGAGUGCGUGGAGGAGUUCCUCCUAGGGCAGAGGCACACGAGCAGUGAAUAUUUGUCCAGUGAGGCUGCCUUGUGGUGCUCCCUAUCCUGCUAUCACCUAAACAAGGAAGAACCUGCAGCAAGAAGGUCAUAAGGCUCCUUGAAAAUGAGUGGAGGGCUGGCCUUGUGGGCUGCUCAUAUUCUCUGUUUGAACACAAAUGUGUACAUAGAGCAAAGAAGAUACAAAUUGCAUCUCAGCGCAGGAAACCAAGUUUUCCCAAGUUCAGAGAAGAAACAUGAUUAUUGGCAUCUGCCAAGUCCAUGUAUAAUAUGGAGCAACUCACUGUUUUAGUGAAUUGAAGUAAAAAAAAAAAAAAAAAGAACAUGAGGGCUUAUAAUUUAAAACUUACAAGUCAUUUGCACAGCUCAGGAUUAGGACCACAUGGAAAACUUAAGCUCUGGUUCUCUACUAAGUUCAGAAUAAUGAUCAUUACAGUAUUAACAGUAGUCUUUUAAUGUAGUACUUAAAGCAAGAGUAACUAAUGGACUAGGUGCUGGCUAAGCAUCUAAGGGGACAGUCUCAAUUCCAAAGACCUUUACAAGCUGGGACAGAUAGUCAGAAGGACUGAAGAGGAAGCAAGAUGCCAGCAGUGAAACUGGUUUAAGUAGAUGCACAGUGCCCACAUUGCUGAAGUGCUAGAAGACGUCCUCUGUGGAUCAGAAGACCAGAUCAGAUAUUCUUGGUCCCAAAGGCCAUGAUUCUUGUAUCACCAGCAAUUACCUCAGCAAUUCCUUUCUAAGGUUGUGAGGGUCCCACUUAAAACAAAGAUCUUUUCUGUCCAUCCUUCUCCUGUUAGAGGGUACUCCUGAACUACUCAUCUGUAGUUCUUGUUGUUUCCAGCUAAAAUUUAUAUGUGGUCAGCUCAUACACAUUUCCUGUGUAACUGUUGUACUUUAAGUUCUCUUUCUUUGCUCCUUAGACACUGCAGUCAUUUCCCUGCCACCUUUGUUUUCACUGGGCUGAGCAAUCCCAAGAGAUUUCAUCUCUGCUCGUUCAGUAGUUCCUCUUUUUGAGAGCUCCUCCAGGCCUUUGCUAGUCCUGAAGCCCUCCUCUGCAACACUUUUGGACACGAAUAACCUCCCUUGGUGAUAACCAGAAGU